rnacentral:rRNA from 1 species
AUGUCACAGAAUUCCGAAGAAAUUUUUUUGAAGCAUCAUCUCAAUAUUCUACGUGUGUGUGCCAAGUUUCGCGGAAAACCGAUAAUUUUUGUGGCUUGUGUAAAAAAAAAGAUGUCUCAUGAAAAGCCCUUUUUAAACACACUGAAUUUUGCUGUUUUCACACGGGACACAAAAGUUGUCGGUUCUUUGCGAAAUGACUUUGCGAGAACGUGGAUGUCGAGAUGUGCAUGCGAAACAUUUUAUCCAAAUUUUGUGACAUGUCUUUGUCUUGGAGCUGUACAGGUGGAGAUUAAAGUGCCCGUCGGUGAACUCCGACUCAACGAAGGCCCAGCGGAGCACGGCGAUGAAGAACAUGUCCUGGUCGCGGCGGCGCAGCAACGCGACCUCGUGGUCGAAGAAGGUGAAGUCGGGGGGCGAGUGGACGAGCUUGACCGACGGCGGAGUAUUCUUGGUGCCGGCCUGGUAGACGAAGUGGCGGAUGUUCUUGGGGUACGUGUCCUGGCGCUCGGGGCAGAUGAUGAUGCAGAGCAGGGCGAGGCCGUCCUCCGUGUAGCAGACCUUGGGGAUGCUGCCGUACGCGUCGGGCUUCAGAUCUGGGCAGUGGACGGUGAAGCAGGAGACGCGCGGCGGGGCAGCCGGCCAGAAGGUGACCAGGAUGCGCUUGCCCUUCUUCUUGGUCCUGCUCCUGCGGCCAUUGGCAGUGGUGGCGUUGGUGCGGUCGCUGAGGUAGCCGAACGAGUCGAUGAGGAUGGUCUCCGGAAGAGGAGAGUCCGGAUCCUCGGGGUGGAUGGGCGGAGGGAUCGUGAGCAGCCGGAAUUCGUGGUCAUCCAUGCCCAUGGCAACCGAGGAGGUCGAUGCGGAGGUGGCGGCCGGAGGAGGAAUGGGAGUGGAAAGGAGAGAUGA